GAGACAGCAGUCGCCGCGGUAAUACGUAGGUGGCAAGCGUUGUCCGGAAUUAUUGGGCGUAAAGGGCUCGCAGGCGGUUUCUUAAGUCUGAUGUGAAAGCCCCCGGCUCAACCGGGGAGGGUCAUUGGAAACUGGGAAACUUGAGUGCAGAAGAGGAGAGUGGAAUUCCACGUGUAGCGGUGAAAUGCGUAGAGAUGUGGAGGAACACCAGUGGCGAAGGCGACUCUCUGGUCUGUAACUGACGCUGAGGAGCGAAAGCGUGGGGAGCGAACAGGAUUAGAUACCCGGGUAGUCCCUGUCUCUUAUAC
rnacentral:rRNA from 1 species